CUUUACUGCAUUUUUACAUUGUUACUAUAAUUAAAUUAUGUAGAAUAAGUGGGAGUUUUAUAAUGCAAAUUAUAAAACAUCAGUGAAAUACCACUUUUUUUAAUUUUAGAACUAUAUCUUAGAUUAAUUUAAGAGACCGUGUAUGAUUGGUAGUUUAACUGGGGCGGUUUCCUCCUAAAGAGUAACGGAGGAGUACAAAGGUAGGCUCAAACUGGAUUAAACAUCAGUUGUGGAGUGUAAUGGUAAAAGCCUGCUUGACUAUAAGACGGACACGUCAAAUAGAAACGCAAGUUUGUCAUAGUGACCCGGUAAUUUUAUAUGGAAAAAUUAUCGCUCAACGGAUAAAAGGUA
rnacentral:rRNA from 1 species